rnacentral:misc_RNA from 1 species
GAUGAAGAACGUAGCGAAAUGCGAUAAGUAAUGUGAAUUGCAGAAUUCAGUGAAUCAUCGAAUCUUUGAACGCACAUUGCGCCCGCUAGUAUUCUGGCGGGCAUGCCUGUUCGAGCGUCAUUUCAACCAUCAAGCCCCAGGCUUGUGUUGGGGACCUGCGGCUGCCGCAGGCCCUGAAAACCAGUGGCGGGCUCGCUGUCACACCGGGCGUAGUAGAUUUUAUCUCGCUCAGGGCGUGCUGCGGGUUCCGGCCGUUAAAAAGCCUUUUUUACCCAAGGUUGACCUCGGAUCAGGUAGGAAUACCCGCUGAACUUAAGCAUAUCAAUAAGCGGAGGA